rnacentral:rRNA from 1 species
GUGGGGAAUAUUGGACAAUGGGCGAAAGCCUGAUCCAGCCAUGCCGCGUGUGUGAAGAAGGUCUUCGGAUUGUAAAGCACUUUAAGUUGGGAGGAAGGGCAGUAAGUUAAUACCUUGCUGUUUUGACGUUACCGACAGAAUAAGCACCGGCUAACUUCGUGCCAGCAGCCGCGGUAAUACGAAGGGUGCAAGCGUUAAUCGGAAUUACUGGGCGUAAAGCGCGCGUUGGGGGUUUUGUAAGUUGUAGGUGAAAUCACCGGGAGCAACCUGGGAACUGCCUCCAAAAAUGCAUGGAUAGAGUACGGUAGAGGGUAGUGGAAUUUCCUGUGUAGCGGUGAAAUGCGUAGAUAUAGGAAGGAACACCAGUGGCGAAGGCGACUACCUGGACUGAUACUGACACUGAGGUGCGAAAGCGUGGGGAGCAAACAGGAUUAGAAACCCGUGUAGUCC